rnacentral:rRNA from 1 species
UACGGGGGGAGCAAGCGUUGUUCGGAUUUACUGGGCGUAAAGGGCGCGUAGGCGGCGUGACAAGUCACUUGUGAAAUCUCCGGGCUUAACUCGGAGCGGUCAAGUGAUACUGUCGUGCUAGAGUGCGGAAGGGGCUACUGGAAUUCUCGGUGUAGCGGUGAAAUGCGUAGAUAUCGUAAGGAAGACCAGUGGCGAAGGCGGGUCUCUGGACAGUUCCUGACGCUGAGGCACGAAGGUCAGGGGAGCAAACGGG